AUGAUGCGCGGUGGGAAGCCGGCGCGGCAGCCCGUGGCCCCUAAGCCCCUCACGAGGCACGCUUGCCCCAGAGGUCCUAUAAGCCGUGGCGGCAGCGCAGGGCGCAGGUGUGCACUCUGCCUGCCCGCCUCUCUCCUGCUGGUUCGCGGCUCCAACCUUAUCUGGGAACCUUCUCCAGCCAGUGCGCAAAAGCCUAUGUUAUCUGCCCUAGCUCCGAAGAAGGAGCGGUACUCGGGAAGUGCGCUCCAGGCUUGCCUCACAUCCUGCCACCGCGGCUGCCGCCUCCAGAAUUUGCCUGGAGCAGGGGUAGGAGGGCAGUGGAAAUCACCUACAGCUGCGUCUCGGUCGCUAACAGUUUGGAGCCUCCGGGCUGACUGAUUACACCGGGGAGGAGGAGGGGAUUAGAGAGAAGAGCUCCGGCGCGUCACGGAAAAGGGUUACUGCUGCUCCUCCUCCUCUUCCACACCCCUUUGGAUUCCAACCCCGAGUUCCCCCAUCCCCUGGUUAAAAAGAGAGAGAGAGAGAGAGAGAGAGAGAAAAAACCACUUCCCUCUUACCUUUCCCGGGAGAAAGUGCGUCCCAGCAGCGCCGUCUAGCGUCUUUCCCGGAGUACGCCAGCCUAAAGGGUUAGGCCGAGCGCGGAACCCAGUGAGUGAAGGCAGGGAAAACCGCUAAGCAAAGUUUGUCAGCUAUCCUGAUCUCCAGUUCCACCCGUUGAGCAGCUGUCUAGUUCAUCCACGAGUUCACCUGUUUGGUUCCCCCCAGGCCAGACCCUAGUGUUAUUAAAGACGCAUGCCGCCUAAUUAUAUUUAUAAUGUGAGCUUCUGAGUACCAGAGAGGACUCCUCUUUUCCACCCCUCCCACGUUAGAGAUCCUUAAGUCUCUGGGUUCUCCAGACCCGCCAGGCAAACGGUUGGCAAGGAGGGCUGGGACCCCAGGAUGGGCUCUGAGAUAGAACCCGGGCACCAAACCCAGGCAGUGAUUGUUUAUGCCAUGCGCCUGAGGCUUGCCAGAGGUGCUCCUGACCACGUGAGUCUCCAAGGUCAUGAAACCCAGGAGGUCCUCUCUUGAUUUGGGAGAAUGGCACUGAAACAUGUAUAAUAUCAUAUAUGAAACGACUCGCCAGUCCAGGUUCAUUGCAUGAUACUGGAUGCUUGGGACUGGUGCACUGAGACGACCCAGAGGGAUGGUACGGGGAGGGAGGAGGGAGGGGAGUUCAGGAUGGGGAACACGUGUAUACCUGUGGCGGAUUCAUGUUGAUGUAUGGCAAAACCAAUACAAUAUUGUAAAGUAAUUAAUCUCCAAUUAAAUAAAUUUAUAUUAAAAAAAAGAAAAAAAAGUGAUGGGAGAGAGGGGCAACGACUCAGGAACUGACAAGGUUUGAAAUGCAACAGAUAAAGAGACCCGUUUCCAUGCCAGGUAUCUCCCAGAGCGUUCUGCUCAGCUCACUGGCACCUUGCUGAUUAACACACUUAACAGGAUUGCUCAUU
rnacentral:lncRNA from 1 species